UUGUCUUUAAUAUAGUACAUAUAUUAUUAAUAUGUUUAAUUUUCAAUUUAGUACUAUUAUCAAAUAGCGGGCCGCGAGGAUUUCUUAAAGUGUUUAGAUGGUAUCGAUCGAGAGAUGAAAGACCGAUACCGUAAUAGGAAAACACUAAGACACGAACACUUUGAGAAACACUACAAUGGACCGGAGGAUUGGGAUAAGGUUCUAAACAACCCAACCAAUGAUGUUAAUAAGGAGGAGUGAAAGCAGAUCUGUCAGUUAUUUACAAGUCCACAAUUUAUUGCGCGCUCCAUAAAGAAUAAGGAAAAUCGGAAGAAACAAAAGUAUUCUACAACGCAGGGUACAAAAUCGCUGGCAGCCGUCCGUUUUGAAAAAACGAACCCGGACCUCAUUGAGUCAUGGAAGGAUUAUCAUUGGAAGAAAUCAACAAAUGAUUUCGUGAACGAUGAUGCUCGCCAAGAUUAUGAAAAACUGAAGGCUGAUUUUGAGUUACAAACUCAGCAAACAUCCACUGAUGCUUCUAAUAAUGAUAGUCUGUCAUCAGUUGAUCAGGUGGAGGUGCUACA